rnacentral:rRNA from 1 species
AGUGAACGCUGGCGGUAGGCCUAACACAUGCAAGUCGAACGGCAGCACAGUAAGAGCUUGCUCUUACGGGUGGCGAGUGGCGGACGGGUGAGGAAUACAUCGGAAUCUACUUUUUCGUGGGGGAUAACGUAGGGAAACUUACGCUAAUACCGCAUACGACCUACGGGUGAAAGCAGGGGAUCUUCGGACCUUGCGCGAUUGAAUGAGCCGAUGUCGGAUUAGCUAGUUGGCGGGGUAAAGGCCCACCAAGGCGACGAUCCGUAGCUGGUCUGAGAGGAUGAUCAGCCACUCUGGAGCUGAGACGCGGUCCAGCCUCCUACGUGAGGCAGCAGUGGGGAAUAUUGGACAAUGGGCGCAAGCCUGAUCCAGCCAUACCGCGUGGGUGAAGAAGGCCUUCGGGUUGUAAAGCCCUUUUGUUGGGAAAGAAAAGCAGCAGGUUAAUACCCCGCUGUUCUGACGGUACCCAAAGAAUAAGCACCGGCUACCUUCGU